rnacentral:rRNA from 1 species
GGGCCCGCACAAGCGGUGGAGCAUGUGGUUUAAUUCGAUGAUACGCGAGGAACCUUACCAGGGCUUAAAUGCAGAACGACCGGGGUGGAAACACCCCUUUCUUCGGACGGUCUGCAAGGUGCUGCAUGGUUGUCGUCAGCUCGUGCUGUGAAGUGUCGGGUUAAGUCCCAUAACGAGCGCAACCCCUAUUUCUAGUUGCCAGCGGUUCGGCCGGGGACUCUAGAGAAACUGCCAGCGUAAGCUGUGAGGAAGGUGGGGAUGACGUCAAAUCAUCACGGCCCUUACGUCCUGGGCCACACACGUGCUACAAUGGUGGGGACAACGAGUCGCUAACCCGCGAGGGGAGCCAAUCCCACAAAGCCGAUCUUAGUCCGGAUCGCAGUCUGCAACUCGACUGCGUGAAGUUGGAAUCGCUAGUAA